CGCAUAAACGGUCCUUGUGCUUUUAUCCAAAUCAACCUGAAGCAGAUGUUACUCCGACCAGACCUGCAGUAGAGCGACAAGGACGGUCAACUCCAUCUUCUUCCCCAUGAGAAAGUCCCGGUUCAGGUGUAUCUGUUGUUGUUAAUGCUUUAAAUUCUUUGUCGCGACAAAUAUCGAAAUUCGAAGAAAAAGUAGACAGCAGAUUUGAAAAGAUAGAGCGCAGACUACAGGACAUCGACGGCAGAUUUGAGCUACUGGACGAGGAAGUGAAGAACUUAAGCUCUGAUCGUGUUGAAACUUUCAGCUCCGAUUCCACACCCGCAAAACGGAUUAAAAGAGCAAAGAACACACGUGUUGCUGAGGCUGUAAGACGUUUACACAAUUCUGAAAACAACGCUAUGAAGCUGGAUCCAAAACAAAGUAUCAAUUCUCCACAUAACCUUGCAGUUACGACAUACAUGUUGGA